UCCCUACGGGGGGCUGCAGUCGAGAAGCUUCGGCAAUGGGCGAAAGCCUGACCGAGCGACGCCGCGUGAGCGAAGAAGGCCCUAUGGGUUGUAAAGCUCUGUCAGAUUGGGAAGAAAACCUCGCGGUUAAUACCCGCGAGGCCUGACGGUACCAUCAGAGGAAGCACCGGCUAACCCCGUGCCAGCAGCCGCGGUAAUACGGGGGGUGCGAGCGUUGUUCGGAUUCACUGGGUAUAAAGGGUGCGCAGGCGGCCUGUUAAGUCAGAGGUGAAAUUCGUCGGCUCAACCGACGGACUGCCCCUGAAACUGACAGGCUUGAGUCCGGGAGAGGAAGGUGGAAUUCCAGGUGUAGCGGUGAAAUGCGUAAAUAUCUGGAGGAACACCGGUGGCGAAGGCGGCCUUCUGGCCCGGAACUGACGCUCAGGCACGAAAGCUAGGGGAGCGAACGGGAUUAGAUACCCCUGUAGUCG
rnacentral:rRNA from 1 species